GGCGGACGGGUGAGUAACGCGUGGGAAUCUACCUAGUAGUGGAGGAUAACUCGGGGAAACUCGAGCUAAUACUGCAUACGCCCUACGGGGGAAAGCGGGGGAUCUUCGGACCUCGCGCUAUUGGAUGAGCCCGCGUUAGAUUAGCUUGUUGGUGAGGUAAUGGCUCACCAAGGCGACGAUCUAUAGCUGGUCUGAGAGGAUGAUCAGCCACAUUGGGACUGAGACACGGCCCAAACUCCUACGGGAGGCAGCAGUGGGGAAUAUUGCGCAAUGGGCGAAAGCCUGACGCAGCCAUGCCGCGUGUGUGAAGAAGGCCUUCGGGUUGUAAAGCACUUUCAAUAGGGAGGAAAGGUUGUAACUUAAUACGUUGCAACUGUGACGUUACCUAUAGAAGAAGGACCGGCUAACUCCGUGCCAGCAGCCGCGGUAAUACGGAGGGUCCGAGCGUUAAUCGGAAUUACUGGGCGUAAAGCGCGCGUAGGCGGCUUCGUCAGUCAGAUGUGAAAGCCCCGGGCUCAACCUGGGAACUGCAUUUGAUACUGCGGAGCUAGAGUAUGGUAGAGGAUAGUGGAAUUCCAGGUGUAGCGGUGAAAUGCGUAGAUAUCUGGAGGAACAUCAGUGGCGAAGGCGACUGUCUGGACCAAUACUGA
rnacentral:rRNA from 1 species